CCUCCUGUUGAUAAAACAAAGCAAAACAUAGACAACACCCUCAAGUGGUACUGCGGAAAGAGCAAGCUAUUUACACAAGGACCAAGAACCCACAGAGGGCUUAUCCUAGACCCCAGACACUCGUACUAAACAAAAUCAGGCCGGCAGGCUCCACUGACUUCCCAGAGGAUUGAGGUUGUUGGUCCUCGAGGGGAGGAAGGGGAAAAGAGGUAUAACUGAAUUAGGGUCUAGCAGGAUGGGAACUAAGGGAAAUCUUGGUAGAUGCUGUCCAGGGGAGGUUUCCAAUUAAUGCCCUGAGUCUCAAGAACUUUUCAUCAUUUACGCAAUCUCAAGUGACUGCUGAGUGACCAUAACUGGAGUAGAGACGGGGAUUCCUAUUUAGGAGAGAAAGAGAACAAGUGCGUAUUUUUCUACCUAGCAGAGAAAUAACAUGGUUAUUAGAAAGUUUUAUUGUCACCAGGAGAGUUCUUCAAAAUUUCUUUACCUCUCCUGGAGGAAAGAUCAAGGUAGAGCUGCCGUGCAUACAGCAGCCAAAGAUAAGUGGUCUCACUGCUAGGAUGGCUGACAGAACUUGAGCUGCCAAAAAACUUUCUUCCUUAAUAUUUUUCAAAAUAUUGAUUUGUAAAGCCAACAUAUCAAUAUAAAAGGGGUUUUUUCCUUCCAGAGAAACAGCCCUAUGAUUGCCAAUGCACACUGCCUGGAUGGAUUUCUGGGCUGCAGUGCAGUGUGGGAAUCCAAAUGACACCCUGUGGUUUUGCUGUUUUGAGGAGACCAAAUUCAGGGAUGCCAGGAUGGCUAGAAUUUCACAAAAAAAUACUGCAGAAGAGGCAGGUGCCCAGGCAGGGCUGUAGACAUCUAGGUAGGGCAGAGUAUUAAGACUUGGGCAGAGUAUUAUUCUGUAAGUGCACAUGAGUAUCCCAAACUGGGAAAAGAGCCGUCAGAAAGGAACACAGAACAAUCUUCAGAGUUCACACUACAUACAUAGUUCAAUAGUUCAUGUUCCUGACAGCCAAGAUGGAACACACAAGCUAUCAGGCUCCAUCUUCAGAAAGACAUUGCCUUAGCAGCAGGUCAUAUGGGCCCUAGCCUGAAGGCUGCUCAGAACAGAGCCUAACAAAGCAAAAAAGCAAGCCAUGAAAGGAUCAUACCAAUCCCAAGUAACUUAAAUACAAAGUACAAAAAAUAUUUUUAAAAGUACAACAAAAGCCAACAUCCAGCAACAGAAUACUGACAAUGUCCAGCAUCCAAUCAAAAAUUACCAGACAUGUAGAGAAGCAGAGGCUAUGACCCAUAACUAGGAGCAAAAUCAAUGAACA